UACGAAGGGGACUAGCGUUGUUCGGAUUUACUGGGCGUAAAGCGUGCGCAGGCGGUUUUGUAAGUCUGUCGUGAAAGCCCCGGGCUCAACCUGGGAAUUGCGAUGGAGACUGCAAGGCUUGAAUCUGGCAGAGGGGGGGUAGAAUUCCACGUGUAGCAGUGAAAUGCGUAGAGAUGUGGAGGAACACCGAUGGCGAAGGCAGCCCCCUGGGUCAAGACUGACGCUCAUGCACGAAAGCGUGGGGAGCAAACAGG
rnacentral:rRNA from 1 species